UACGAAGGGGGCUAGCGUUGUUCGGAAUUACUAGGCGUAAAGCGCGCGUAGGCGGUGAUCUAUGUCAGAGGUGAAAGCCCGGGGCUCAACUCCGGAAUUGCCUUUGAAACGGGAUCGCUAGAGUCCGAGAGAGGAUGGCGGAAUUCCUAGUGUAGAGGUGAAAUUCGUAGAUAUUAGGAAGAACACCGGUGGCGAAGGCGGCCAUCUGGCUCGGUACUGACGCUCAGGCGCGAAAGCGUGGGGAGCAAACAGG
rnacentral:rRNA from 1 species